UGGGGAAUAUUGGACAAUGGGCGAAAGCCUGAUCCAGCCAUGCCGCGUGUGUGAAGAAGGUCUUCGGAUUGUAAAGCACUUUAAGUUGGGAGGAAGGGCAUUAACCUAAUACGUUAGUGUUUUGACGUUACCGACAGAAUAAGCACCGGCUAACUCUGUGCCAGCAGCCGCGGUAAUACAGAGGGUGCAAGCGUUAAUCGGAAUUACUGGGCGUAAAGCGCGCGUAGGUGGUUUGUUAAGCUGGAUGUGAAAUCCCCGGGCUCAACCUGGGAACUGCAUUCAAAACUGACUGACUAGAGUAUGGUAGAGGGUGGUGGAAUUUCCUGUGUAGCGGUGAAAUGCGUAGAUAUAGGAAGGAACACCAGUGGCGAAGGCGACCACCUGGACUAAUACUGACACUGAGGUGCGAAAGCGUGGGGAGCAAACA
rnacentral:rRNA from 1 species